rnacentral:rRNA from 1 species
GACGGAGGGGGCAAGCGUUGCUCGGAAUUACUGGGCGUAAAGGGCGCGUAGGCGGGAUGGCAAGUCGGUCGUGAAAUCCCUCGGCUCAACCGAGGAACGUCGAUCGAUACUGCUGUUCUUGAGGAUUGCAGAGGAGACUGGAAUUCCCGGUGUAGCGGUGAAAUGUGUAGAGAUCGGGAGGAACACCGGUGGCGAAGGCGGGUCUCUGGGCAAUUCCUGACGCUGAGGCGCGAAAGCGUGGGGAGCAAACGGG